AGAGUUUGAUCAUGGCUCAGAUUGAACGCUGGCGGCAUGCCUUACACAUGCAAGUCGAACGGUAACAGGUCUUCGGAUGCUGACGAGUGGCGAACGGGUGAGUAAUACAUCGGAACGUGCCCGAUCGUGGGGGAUAACGGAGCGAAAGCUUUGCUAAUACCGCAUACGAUCUACGGAUGAAAGCAGGGGACCGCAAGGCCUUGCGCGGACGGAGCGGCCGAUGGCAGAUUAGGUAGUUGGUGGGAUAAAAGCUUACCAAGCCGACGAUCUGUAGCUGGUCUGAGAGGACGACCAGCCACACUGGGACUGAGACACGGCCCAUACUCCUACGGGAGGCAGCAGUGGGGAAUUUUACGCAAUGGGGGAAACCCUGACGUAGCGACACCGCGUGAGCGAAGAAGCCCUUUGGGGUGUAAAGCUCUGUCAACAGGAACGAAACAAAUGACGGUACCUGUGGAGGAAGCAUCGGCUAACUACGUGCCAGCAGCCGCGGUAAGACGUAGGAUGCAAGCGUUGUCCGGAUUUAUUGGGCGUAAAGAGUUCGUAGGCGGUUUGUUAAGUCUGAUGUUAAAGACCGGGGCUCAACCUCGGAAAUGCAUUGGAUACUGGCAGACUGGAGUGCAGUAGAGGCUAGUGGAAUUCCGCGUGUAGCAGUGAAAUGCGUAGAUAUCGGAAGGAACACCAGUGGCGAAGGCGGCUUACUGGCCUAAUACUGACACUGAGGCACGAAAGCGUGGGGAGCAAACGGGAUUAGAUACCCCGGUAGUCC
rnacentral:rRNA from 1 species